GACGAACGCUGGCGGCGUGCCUAAUACAUGCAAGUUGAGCGCUGAAGGUUGGUACUUGUACCGACUGGAUGAGCAGCGAACGGGUGAGUAACGCGUGGGGAAUCUGCCUUUGAGCGGGGGACAACAUUUGGAAACGAAUGCUAAUACCGCAUAAAAACUUUAAACACAAGUUUUAAGUUUGAAAGAUGCAAUUGCAUCACUCAAAGAUGAUCCCGCGUUGUAUUAGCUAGUUGGUGAGGUAAAGGCUCACCAAGGCGAUGAUACAUAGCCGACCUGAGAGGGGGAUCGGCCACAUUGGGACUGAGACACGGCCCAAACUCCUACGGGAGGCAGCAGUAGGGAAUCUUCGGCAAUGGACGAAAGUCUGACCGAGCAACGCCGCGUGAGUGAAGAAGGUUUUCGGAUCGUAAAACUCUGUUGGUAGAGAAGAACGUUGGUGAGAGUGGAAAGCUCAUCAAGUGACGGUAACUACCCAGAAAGGGACGGCUAACUACGUG
rnacentral:rRNA from 1 species